rnacentral:rRNA from 1 species
GUUCUGUAAGCCUGUGAAGGUGUACUGUGAGGUAUGCUGGAGGUAUCAGAAGUGCGAAUGCUGACAUAAGUAACGAUAAAGCGGGUGAAAAGCCCGCUCGCCGGAAGACCAAGGGUUCCUGUCCAACGUUAAUCGGGGCAGGGUGAGUCGACCCCUAAGGCGAGGCCGAAAGGCGUAGUCGAUGGGAAACAGGUUAAUAUUCCUGUACUUGGUGUUACUGCGAAGGGGGGACGGAGAAGGCUAUGUUGGCCGGGCGACGGUUGUCCCGGUUUAAGCGUGUAGGCUGGUUUUCCAGGCAAAUCCGGAAAAUCAAGGCUGAGGCGUGAUGACGAGGCACUACGGUGCUGAAGCAACAAAUGCCCUGCUUCCAGGAAAAG